rnacentral:rRNA from 1 species
CUACGUAGGGAGCGAGCGUUGUCCGGAAUUACUGGGCGCAAAGGGCGCGUAGGCGGCGCUUCAAGUCGUCUGUCAAAUGGGAGGGCUUAACCCUUUUUCGCAGACGAAACUGGAGAGCUCGAGAAGCAGAGAGGCAAACAGAAUUCCUGGUGUAGCGGUGAAAUGCGUAGAUAUCAGGAAGAAUACCAGUGGCGAAGGCGGUUUGCUGGCUGCAUACUGACGCUGAAGCGCGAAAGCCAGGGGAGCAAACGGGAUUAGAUACCCCGGUAGUCCUGGCAGUAAACGAUGUAUGCUGGGUGUGAGACUAGCGAUAGUUUCGUGCCGAAGUUAACGCGAUAAGCAUACCGCCUGGGGAGUACGGUCGCAAGAUUGAAACUCAAAUGAAUUGACGGGG